rnacentral:rRNA from 1 species
UACGUAGGUGGCGAGCGUUGUCCGGAAUUACUGGGCGUAAAGGGCGUGUAGGCGGCUUUUUAAGUCAGACGUGAAAUCCCUGGGCUUAACCCAGGACCUGCGUUUGAAACUGGAAGGCUUGAGGAUCGGAGAGGGCAGUGGAAUUCCCAGUGUAGCGGUGAAAUGCGUAGAUAUUGGGAGGAACACCAGUGGCGAAGGCGACUGCCUGGACGACACCUGACGCUGAGGCGCGAAAGCUAGGGGAGCAAACGGG